CCUACGGGAGGCAGCAGUGAGGAAUAUUGGUCAAUGGGCUUACGCCUGAACCAGCCAAGUCGCGUGAGGGAAGACUGCCCUAUGGGUUGUAAACCUCUUUUGUCAGGGAGCAACGCCGGCUACGUGUAGCCGGUCUGAGAGUCUCUGAAGAACAAGCAUCGGCUAACUCCGUGACAGCAGCCGCGGUAAUACGGAGGAUGCGAGCGUUAUCCGGAUUUAUUGUGUUUAAAGGGUGCGUAGGCGGAAUGCCAAGUCAGCGGUAAAAUCGCGGGGCUCAACCUCGCUCCGCAGUUGAUACUGGCUUUCUUGAGUGGGCGAGAUGUAUGCGGAAUGCGUGGUGUAGCGGUGAAAUGCAUAGAUAUCACGAAGAACUCCGAUUGCGAAGGCAGCAUACCGGCGCCCAACUGACGCUGAAGCACGAAAGCGUGGGUAUCGAACAGGAGUAGAUACCCUUGUAGUC
rnacentral:rRNA from 1 species